rnacentral:tRNA from 1 species
GCGGGAAUAGCUCAGUUGGUAGAGCACGACCUUGCCAAGGUCGGGGGGUCGCGAGUUCGAGUCUCGUUUCCCGCUCCA